AACGCACAUUGCGCCCCUCGGUAUUCCGGGGGGCAUGCCUGUUCGAGCGUCAUUACACCCCUCAAGCGUAGCUUGGUAUUGGGUCUCGCCCCUCGGGCGUGCCCGAAAAGCAGUGGCGAUCCGGAGCGACUUUGAGCGUAGUAAAUUAUCAUCCCGCUUUGAAAGAUCGUCUCUGGGCUGGCCAGAAACCCCAAAUAUUCUAUAAUUGACCUCGGAUCAGGUAGGGAUACCCGCUGAACUUAA
rnacentral:misc_RNA from 1 species